rnacentral:tRNA from 1 species
CAAAGUAAAGCUUAUUAGUUGAGUUAUUCGUUUACAUCGAAGGGGUUCCUGUGCAAUUCGGGUUGCUUUGA